UGGGGAAUUUUGGACAAUGGGCGAAAGCCUGAUCCAGCAAUGCCGCGUGUGUGAAGAAGGCCUUCGGGUUGUAAAGCACUUUUGUCCGGAAAGAAAUGGCUCUGGUUAAUACCUGGGGUCGAUGACGGUACCGGAAGAAUAAGGACCGGCUAACUACGUGCCAGCAGCCGCGGUAAUACGUAGGGUCCAAGCGUUAAUCGGAAUUACUGGGCGUAAAGCGUGCGCAGGCGGUUGUGCAAGACCGAUGUGAAAUCCCCGAGCUUAAAUUAGAAAUGGCAUUUGGGACUGAACGGCUAGGGGGGGGCAGAGGGGGGUAGAAUUCCACGUGUAGCAGUGAAAUGCGUAGGGAUGUGGAAGAAUACCGAUGGCGAAGGCAGCCCCCUGAGAUAACACUGGCGACCAUGCACGAAAGCGUGGGGGGCAAACAGG
rnacentral:rRNA from 1 species